GGAAACCGUUACGCUGUUCAGUGUAGUUAUACUCAAGAUCACAGUCGUUAAAACGCGCGUGAGACUUGACGAUACGCCAUAUUGUUUUGACAGUGAUACUGACAGAGUACUUGCUUGCAUAAUUUCUAACCUUUCUGGAGACUUCCCUGGUUAGAUAGUAUUGAAAAUGAUACUAUGUACAAAGAGAGUGGGAAAAGUGGUGAAGUUGCUGAUAGCGAUGGCAUUUUUGGUCAUGAGUUUUAUGUGAUAUUGGACAAAGCAAACAAAUACCACCAUACUGUUAACCUAGAAGACUUUACUCAUGUAUCUUCAUUUAAAACUGAUGUAUGGUUAUAUGACUAUACAAAAAUAAAUAAUUUAAAGCUCUUCA